GGCUCAGAUUGAACGCUGGCGGCAGGCCUAACACAUGCAAGUCGAACGGUAACAGGAAGCAGCUUGCUGCUUCGCUGACGAGUGGCGGACGGGUGAGUAAUGUCUGGGAAGCUGCCUGAUGGAGGGGGAUAACUACUGGAAACGGUAGCUAAUACCGCAUAAUGUCGCAAGACCAAAGAGGGGGACCUUCGGGCCUCUUGCCAUCGGAUGUGCCCAGAUGGGAUUAGCUUGUUGGUGGGGUAACGGCUCACCAAGGCGACGAUCCCUAGCUGGUCUGAGAGGAUGACCAGCCACACUGGAACUGAGACACGGUCCAGACUCCUACGGGAGGCAGCAGUGGGGAAUAUUGCACAAUGGGCGCAAGCCUGAUGCAGCCAUGCCGCGUGUAUGAAGAAGGCCUUCGGGUUGUAAAGUACUUUCAGCGGGGAGGAAGGGAGUAAAGUUAAUACCUUUGCUCAUUGACGUUACCCGCAGAAGAAGCACCGGCUAACUCCGUGCCAGCAGCCGCGGUAAUACGGAGGGUGCAAGCGUUAAUCGGAAUUACUGGGCGUAAAGCGCACGCAGGCGGUUUGUUAAGUCAGAUGUGAAAUCCCCGGGCUCAACCUGGGAACUGCAUCUGAUACUGGCAAGCUUGAGUCUCGUAGAGGGGGGUAGAAUUCCAGGUGUAGCGGUGAAAUGCGUAGAGAUCUGGAGGAAUACCGGUGGCGAAGGCGGCCCCCUGGACGAAGACUGACGCUCAGGUGCGAAAGCGUGGGGAGCAAACAGGAUUAGAUACCCUGGUAGUCCACGCCGUAAACGAUGUCGACUUGGAGGUUGUGCCCUUGAGGCGUGGCUUCCGGAGCUAACGCGUUAAGUCGACCGCCUGGGGAGUACGGCCGCAAGGUUAAAACUCAAAUGAAUUGACGGGGGCCCGCACAAGCGGUGGAGCAUGUGGUUUAAUUCGAUGCAACGCGAAGAACCUUACCUGGUCUUGACAUCCACGGAAGUUUUCAGAGAUGAGAAUGUGCCUUCGGGAACCGUGAGACAGGUGCUGCAUGGCUGUCGUCAGCUCGUGUUGUGAAAUGUUGGGUUAAGUCCCGCAACGAGCGCAACCCUUAUCCUUUGUUGCCAGCGGUCCGGCCGGGAACUCAAAGGAGACUGCCAGUGAUAAACUGGAGGAAGGUGGGGAUGACGUCAAGUCAUCAUGGCCCUUACGACCAGGGCUACACACGUGCUACAAUGGCGCAUACAAAGAGAAGCGACCUCGCGAGAGCAAGCGGACCUCAUAAAGUGCGUCGUAGUCCGGAUUGGAGUCUGCAACUCGACUCCAUGAAGUCGGAAUCGCUAGUAAUCGUGGAUCAGAAUGCCACGGUGAAUACGUUCCCGGGCCUUGUACACACCGCCCGUCACACCAUGGGAGUGGGUUGCAAAAGAAGUAGGUAGCUUAACCUUCGGGAGGGCGCUUACCACUUUGUGAUUCAUGAC
rnacentral:rRNA from 1 species